rnacentral:lncRNA from 1 species
CAUAAAAGUCCACACCCUGUGGUUUUAGGUUUCCUUCUAAUCGUAUUUAACGUAUUUAACAGUGAUGCUUGUUUUCAAACCACACCCAAAACCACCAUGCACAGUGUAUUACUCACUCUGCUUUAUUGGGCCUGGUUGGUCUGUGUGGCUUUGGACAUUACCUCCUAAAUCCCCAAGCAGGAGCUGCACUUCAUGGCAUGUCAAUAAUGGCAUGUGUGAGUAUAUGCAUUGAUCCCACAAACAUGCUCCUCUCCUUCCCUUCAGCCUUCUCCUGGAGUCUGGCAGAAACUUAAAGGCUGAAGACAGCCAAAUAACCCAAAAGGUCCAAUGAGAACCGUCUGGCUCAGGCACAGUGCACCUCACAUCUGCACUUCAUGGACCAUCGUUGAAAAUUUCCAACCCCGGUUGGACACUUUCAUGAUUAAGAAUGCACGGCUGUAAGGUUUCAGACCUUGUUACCACACCGUCGGAACCACCAAGGUGCUCUGAAACAUAAAAUGAACAACCACUUUCUGGUGUUGACUGUGUGCCAGGCACAAUCUACAUGCAAAAAUGAACUGUCCUAGUGACGACCUUCAAAGGACUCCCAGUGGCAUACAGGAGACCAACAUGGAGAGAGGCAAUCAUAAUACAGGAAGCCUCCUUUAAUCAGUUUAUUUAUUCAACAGAAAUUUACCGAGUGCUUACUAUGUGCCAGGCACUGUUAUAGGUACUAGACAUACAGCAGUAAAUGAAACAGACACAAAAUCCUUGCCCUCAUCAAGCUCGUUUUAUUCUAAAGGGGUGGAUAAUAAAGAAAUAAAUUCAUAAAAUAUAUGGGGAUCAGAUGGUGAUAAACCUGAUCAAGUAGAGAAGGAAAGGCUGGGAGCAGUGACUCACGCCUGUAAUCCCAGCA